rnacentral:rRNA from 1 species
AUGAACGCUAGCGACAGGCUUAACACAUGCAAGUCGAGGGGCAGCACAGGUAGCAAUACCGGGUGGCGACCGGCGCACGGGUGAGUAACGCGUAUGCAACUUGCCUAUCAGAGGGGGAUAACCCGGCGAAAGUCGGACUAAUACCGCAUGAAGCAGGGGCCCCGCAUGGGAAUAUUUGCUAAAGAUUCAUCGCUGAUAGAUAGGCAUGCGUUCCAUUAGGCAGUUGGCGGGGUAACGGCCCACCAAACCGACGAUGGAUAGGGGUUCUGAGAGGAAGGUCCCCCACAUUGGUACUGAGACACGGACCAAACUCCUACGGGAGGCAGCAGUGAGGAAUAUUGGUCAAUGGCCGAGAGGCUGAACCAGCCAAGUCGCGUGAGGGAUGAAGGUUCUAUGGAUCGUAAACCUCUUUUAUAAGGGAAUAAAGUGCGGGACGUGUCCCGUUUUGUAUGUACCUUAUGAAUAAGGAUCGGCUAACUCCGUGCCAGCAGCCGCGGUAAUACGGAGGAUCCGAGCGUUAUCCGGAUUUAUUGGGUUUAAAGGGUGCGUAGGCGGCCUUUUAAGUCAGCGGUGAAAGUCUGUGGCUCAACCAUAGAAUUGCCGUUGAAACUGGGGGGCUUGAGUAUGUUUGAGGCAGGCGGAAUGCGUGGUGUAGCGGUGAAAUGCAUAGAUAUCACGCAGAACCCCGAUUGCGAAGGCAGCCUGCCAAGCCAUUACUGACGCUGAUGCACGAAAGCGUGGGGAUCAAACAGGAUUAGAUACCCUGGUAGUCCACGCAGUAAACGAUGAUCACUAGCUGUUUGCGAUACACUGUAAGCGGCACAGCGAAAGCGUUAAGUGAUCCACCUGGGGAGUACGCCGGCAACGGUGAAACUCAAAGGAAUUGACGGGGGCCCGCACAAGCGGAGGAACAUGUGGUUUAAUUCGAUGAUACGCGAGGAACCUUACCCGGGUUUGAACGCAUUCGGACCGAGGUGGAAACACCUUUUCUAGCAAUAGCCGUUUGCGAGGUGCUGCAUGGUUGUCGUCAGCUCGUGCCGUGAGGUGUCGGCUUAAGUGCCAUAACGAGCGCAACCCUUGCCACUAGUUACUAACAGGUAAAGCUGAGGACUCUGGUGGGACUGCCAGCGUAAGCUGCGAGGAAGGCGGGGAUGACGUCAAAUCAGCACGGCCCUUACAUCCGGGGCGACACACGUGUUACAAUGGCGUGGACAAAGGGAGGCCACCUGGUGACAGGGAGCGAAUCCCCAAACCACGUCUCAGUUCGGAUCGGAGUCUGCAACCCGACUCCGUGAAGCUGGAUUCGCUAGUAAUCGCGCAUCAGCCAUGGCGCGGUGAAUACGUUCCCGGGCCUUGUACACACCGCCCGUCAAGCCAUGGGAGCCGGGGGUACCUGAAGUCCGUAACCGCGAGGAUCGGCCUAGGGUAAAACUGGUGACUGGGGCU